CCGCCUGCCUCCUGUCAACAGCGGCUGUCAAUAAAGUUGGAGCAUUCAAAGCAGGAGGACGAGGCGCGAGUAGGGGCUGGAUAGGGAAGGGGAGCCAGUCCUCUACAAGAUAAAAGCAAAAUACUGCAGAUACUGGAAAUCUGAAACAAAAACAGAAAAUGCUGGAAAAACUCAGUAAGCCUAACAGCAUCUGUGGAGAGAAAAACGGAGUUAACGUUUCGAGUCCGUAUGACUUUUCUUCAGAGCUCCUCCAUUGUGAUGUAAGCCCAUCCCAUUGUGUUGCUAGGGACAAAGCUCUUCAAUGUGGCAGUGGAUCACAAUGGCCGUUCACUUGUCAACCCAUACCUGCUUGGAUUUACAUGAGUGCCUUGAUGAUACCUCUCCUAUAGCAUGGACAAUUGUAUAUGCCAUGUCUUCCACCAUAGGUGCAGUCUUCAGAUAUCCAUCACAGUGACCUCUGUGUGCUCUGCCAAACAACUCACCUUGCCAAACUGCAGCAGCUCGUCGAACCUCAUGCAGCAGUGGAUCCAGGGGCACUAAUCUUCACCUGCUGUGUUCACGAUGGAUGCAAUCUGCUACCAUGAUCUCUUCAUCACAUUAGGCGCAUUCCUCCUUCCUCUAGGGGAUAUGAUCUUCCUCCUUCACUACAUCUCUUCGACCAGGAUCUUGAGGUCCUAGUCACAGAAGCAGGGCGUCGUCCCUCUCACAUCUUCAGCAGCUAGUCUUCUCUGCGACAUUCUGGCAAGCCAAUGAAGAAAGUAAGGCUUCUAGCUUCAUCCAUCACCACACAUAACCUAUGUCCUCCACUCACAUGCAGGAACUGGAGGUUGGGGCGGGGUGGUUGCAUGAAUGCAGGAUGGCCUGGUAUUUGUUCCUGUCACAUCAAAAUGGCAUGUUGCGCUCCCGAGUGUACAAGACCCUGCUGGCCUGCUCCCUCUGAGUCACACAAGUCUACCAUGACAAUAUCCUGCUGUGAGAAUAACGGGCAAGGCACAAUUGGAUUCCCGCACUCUGAUGGUGGUGAAAGGGUAGGUGGGAAGGGCAAAGGUUCUGCAAGUGGGUCCAACAAUCAGCCCCUGAGGCAUUAUGCUAAUCUGUGUUAAUACAAAAUGUCGAAACCAUCUGAUGUUGCCAAGUUGCUGCCAUCUCCAUGGCUGAUCUUGUGAAGCUUUGCCAGCCACAGGUCACUACUGUGUGUUCCUUCAUUCCAUGAGGUCAAUAGGCAGCAUUAAUCCCUAUAUUUCCCAAUGGAAGGCCCAAUGAUGAGCCAUCUCUUACAGUGUCAGUAACCAGUUGGACAACUAUUACAGUUAAGUCCUCACCUGACUUGAUAUAGACAUCUUCUCCCAUGAUCCAGCAGCAACACCAUUAGCUUCCUGCCUUCAUAGCAGGAGCUGCUUACAGGGGUGUCCUUUAUAUUGUGCCCAAGCCAUACUCCACACACAGGCCCACCUCCACAUCCAAUCUGCUUCUGGGUUCGAUGAGCCCAACUCUGUCCCGCACCCAUUCCCCUAGAACAGAGAUCGUGCAGUCCUGGGGUCUUUCUACUGAGGCAGGUGCCAUGCGGCAAGUCUGGCAAUUCCCCGACUCAAGCUACUCGCCUCAGUAGUGAAAUCCAGGCCAUAGUGUCUGUUACCUGUGACAUUUGUUUCAUGGUUUCUUCUUUCAAACCUGUAUCGGUCAGUUCCUCCGAUUCCAUAGCAACCCAAGAUUUUUCCUUGGGGUUUAGCAGUUGCCUUUGAGAGGUAAUGUCUGUAAUGUUCCUUCUCCGCUUUCUGCGAUUUAGCCAUCACUAAAGUUCAUCUUGGUGUCAGGGAUGUCCCCACCUUAAAAGACAUUCUGAAGAAAUAAGAUUCAAGUAAUUUGCUUGAGUUACAGAGCAUGCACAAGGAGCUAAAUGGUUCCUUUCUCUGCUGUAAUUUCUAUGAUUCUAUGAGAGGGGUUAAGCCACCUCUGUUUGGUUGGACUGUAAAGUGCAAAAUUUACCGAUGUAAUGGAAAUUAUUACUUUUAAUCACUUAAGAUAGUAAUCAUUUACCCUUUUGUCUAUGAUCUUUGCAAUUUUCUCAUCAGAGAGCCAUGAGUCCUAAAGUCAUGUGACCUGCUUGUCUGGUAUACAAGAGGCCACUCUGUCACCUGUGAAAACCUCACCUGAUUGAUGAAUUUUUCAUUGCAUGUUUCACAAAGCCUAUUCCGUUUUACUCCUUUACAAACUCAAGGAAGCAAUGCUUGUUUAUAAAGCUGUUGGUUGAUGCCAGGCAGUGUAAGAUACCUUAGUUAUGCAUAUAGAUAGGAUUAGGAUUCAGCUUAAACUCAUUGGAUUAAAGUUUUGACUUUUUUAAGCUUAUGGAUUUACCGUUGCCAGAAAUAAUUAAAUGAUUGAAGUUGCUUAUUCCAGUGCACUUUAGGGUUUAAUGUGUUAGGUUACAAAUUAGCUGAUCUAUGCUGUUUAUUUUUUGCUGAAAUUGCAGCAUGUGUGACUCAUGCCUCUUGACUUAAUUUUGUGACCACGUUGUGAAGCGAGCUAGCCAGGUGUUACAGUCAUGUCAUAUGACCGUAAAGCCUAUGGAGAUGGACAUUUUACUUUUAAAAAGCAACAUGGAAUAUGGACACUGUACCCUCACAAAAUGGAGUCCAGAGAGUCAGAUGACUUAUUUUGUGUUCUCUGUACAGACAGUGACAGACACUUCUGAACAUAUCUGUGGGAAGUUACUCAAAAUGCAAAUAGACUUCCCAGGUGCCAAUUGACUCCCCUCACCAUUUCAGCAGAAGGGAAUUAAAAUGACAAUGACUGCUAGACUUGCCAGUUCCAUGAAGAUGGAAUUUCAAAUAAAGACAUUUCGGAAGUUAAUCAAAGCUGUAACGUUGAUGAGAUAGCAAACACCCUUUGUUGUGUGGCAAAUUGCUUGACCAUCAACCCAUUGUGCAGACAAUGGAAAAUAUCAAUGCUGUUGUUACAUGACAGGAACCCGCUUGUGAUAAGGCAUAUCUGCAACUACCUUAUUAAUCUACUAGUACAGCCCAGGGCAGGUCAGUCUUGGAUAUGGAGACUUAGGAGAAGCCAUAUCCCACCCAGAUCAGGGAGAAACCUGCCUCAAAAAUCAUCUUAAGCAGAGAAGAGGGGUAAUUUGUUUUACCGGCAAGAUUAUAUUCUUUCAAUUCAGGAGUCAGUCCACAAUCUCAUCUGAAGCAGCCAUAAACUUCCAACCUCCAUUGUCUCUAAUGAACCAGAAGAGAAACCUUCAGGUCUGCAACAUUUCAACCACCAUCUUAAGGACUAUGUAACCAAGUGACCUGUUUCUUUUUACUCUGUUAGUAAUCUAAGUGCAUGCUCCAUCUUUAGAAACCAUCUUUCUUUGUGUGCAAGUGCCUGGGUGUUUGCUGCGUUAAUUUUUGGGUGUUGUGAAAAAUAAUUGUUUAUCCUUUCUUUUGACUUAAACUUAUAAGAAAGGCUGUUUGUGUCUGUUCUUUAACGUCACAGCACUCGAGGUAAAAACACUCCUUCCCUUAGUAAUAAAGUAAAUCUUAUUGCGGUCAGCCGAUACAUGAGAAAAGGGAACAAAUUAUCUCACACCUGUCCAUAACACAGGACAGCCUUGAGAUAGGAAGUGAGACAAUAAAACAGGAUGAUAAAUAAGUUGGCACCUGGUGCUUAGAAGAUCCAAUUUCUGGGUGUUCAUGUUCAUAGUAACACCGUCAUGCCAUACUGAAUCAGCAAUGACCAGUGGGUGGAAUUUUACACUUCUGUCACAGCGGGGCAGGGCCAUAGAGUACGGCGAGCCAUUCAAAAGUCCGCUCACUUUGGCAGGCCCGUAAAAUCCUGCCGUCUAAAAUUCCGCUGUUUCUGACAGAAAUGGUUCAUAAAAAUCUUAGGCUUUUCUUAACAAUUUGUAGAGAGAGCCAGAUCAGAAAGGAUCGAGAAGGUUAUUUUUCUACACAGGGUAAAGGGUAAUAUUAUUUAUUUUUCUGUAUGUCUACUGCUCAGAAAGACUACAUUUGCCUGGAUUUGGUUAAAUACAAUAAAAGUAUCUUGUCAACUAUAUGUUUCCAGAUUCAGAUUGCUUACUACAGUUGACAGGGAGAAGUACAGUUAAAAGCCACAUUUUUAGAGUAACGUGACCAAAUUUUACUGCUGAAGAAUCUAUAUUCUUCUUUCUGUCAGCCAUUUCUCUCCCUAGCUUGCUAAUAGCUUCAAUGUCCCUGCUAGUGAUGUGCUGCUUAAUUGAACCUUCAGGCAAAUAGCACACAACACAUGAAAACAUUUCCUUUAGGGAUUCCCCUGUCCCUGUGCUUUGAAAAUGAAGAAUUGCAGGAUAAGGAGGAGCAAGUCAGGAAGUUCAGACUCAAAAAGCACCAUUAGGGGCAUGUGAAACCCACCCACAAGUACCCACACCCAUAUUUAUAUAUUUAGGAAGUCAUAUUACUUCCUCUCUCAUGACAAUGUUUAAAAAGGCUGUACUUCUCUUGUGAAGCAAUAUAGGAUUUGCACUGCCUGUUUGCCUGAAGCUCAACUCCAUUCGUAGUGUGGCACUGACAGUAUGCAAAGGCCCCUUUCAGAGUGGAUGUCAGCCAAUAACACCUCAAUCUGUAAAUAUGAAGGCUCAGUGCCUUGAAGGGCCAACAGUCUCAGACACUGCAAUGGUGUAACUUGUAAUGGACACAAGUCAACUGCAGUAGUCUCGAAAAUGCACCGGAUUUCCUUUACCCAAGCCUCUCUCUAUCAGAUCUCCCUCAGCCAUUCCCUCCCCUACCUGCAGCAAACUCCCAGUAGAGGGUUAAAAUAACCCAUCCACAGUUGGGUGACUUAAGAGGGAAGGAUGGAACAGUAGUGGUGUCACACCAGUGGAGGGAAGUCCAGUCCUGAAGUUUGUCCAGCAAUGACCCUAAAAUGAAGAAAAGAUCUAGCUCUGGAUGUGUGACAUAGCUACUAACAGUUUAAUACCAUGUUAUUAAAUUUAUCAUUGUCACACAGAAGAGUCAAAAUCACUGGAUGUAGCUUGUGUGCUUAUCAAAUAGGUAUUACAGUUCUCCUUCAAAAAAAACCUGUUUUUCUAUGAUGCAUGAAGAGUCUAUCAACAUGCUGCUCAGCCUUGCAUGAAAAAUAAGUCAUUUAUGGCAAUGGAUCAUUUACUCACUCUGCUUCAUGACAAAACCUGUGAGUUUGUUACCUUUUCACUUCACCAGUGUUACUUAGCGUGCAUUCUCUGCCUUUUUUAAUCUUUAAAUAUUUCAGAAGGUAUUUUUCAAAGAAAUGGAAUAGAAUAGAAUCUCUAUUAUCUUAACUUCCAUUAUUUUGCAGAAUAAAGAUUUUUGAGACG